UGCACAAUGCAAUCGCCUGGGGGGUCUUCAAAACGCCAUCCCGCGUUUGAUUUAACUGGUUUGGGCUGCGACCCGGGCAUCGGGAUUGUUAAAAGGUUCCCGGGUGGUUCUAAGUAAAGUUUGGGAUCGGCCUGGGCUGUGGUCUUAACCACUGGGUAUUCAGAGAGCAUUACUGGACUGCUGUUUUUCUUGCCGAAGUUUCCUCACCGAGGCGUUAAAGGGGCAAAGGUGGAGAGAAAGCAAAAGAGGAAGAGGCGAGCGGGAGAGCCAGACACGACCGGCUGGUUCCGGCCCGGCCGGGGAGGCUGCGGCGCCGGCGGCCUUCGCACGGGGAGGAGGCGCGGGCCCCGCUAAGCGCCGCGGCCCGAGGGGAUUCCCAUCAUCGCUCUUUGAAGGAGAUACUGUUAUCACCAAAGUGCAGGUGAGCAAAUGGAGACCUAGAGAGGACUUGCUCAAGGCCACACUGCAGGGAUCACAGAUGGAUCCUUGGAUGGAGGCCAUGGACUCACAUGGUUUUAAAGAAGGAAAUCGUGCCUGGUCUUUUCAAGGUCUUCUUUUGACUCAGGUUCAUCA